AUCAACAACAACCAGAUGCUACAAAUCAGCUCAACUUGACUCAACAUCCUGGAUCUGGCAAUCAGCCAACCAACAUUAAAUCGAUACAACCGUAGCAGUACCAACAACUCCAAAUCCAGCAGCUGCCAACAAUCUCUCAAAAAAGAACCAUAGCAAUUACAGCUCAGAACCAACAAAGCAACAAGAGCUUUUUUACGAAUAAUGGACCCAACGGAAACACUUUAUCGGCACAUUCUGUCGUAAAACUUGCCUGCCACUAUUCUUACCAGCGGUUACCUUCCUGAUGUAGAGAAAUCAGAGUCAAACACAAAAGUCAUAUUACUGCCUUGGCUCCUACUAGUUGCUUGCAUGAAAAUAUCGCUGCCUCCACAGUGCUCGUGAUUCCAUCCCAGCAGCAGCUAGCAACCACAAUUCCAGUGCUUAUCGCCAGCAACAUCAGAAAAUUAAGAUUUCCCCCAGACCAUGACCAUCAUCCGACAGAUCGGUAGCAACAACGUUCAAGUGACGGUAGAACCUGGCCAGCAACCGCAACUAGUGCAAUCGAUCCAAGCCAAUCAGGGCCAAAUGUAGAAGACCAUUGGUCAACCGCAAAAAAAGAUACAUCAACAGUACCUUCAAACACAGUAGCAGCAGCAUACUGUACUGUACCACGCCGCGUGCAGGAGGACUUUUUUUAUUCAGUUGGUGCAGCAAGAUCGAACAGCAACCAUAGCGGAUACACAUCACCGAACACCAGCAACAUAAUGCCAUGGUAACCACCCAGCAGCAGAACACGGUGAUAAUGGGCCAACAGUAAAUACAACAUCAAGAUCCUCGGAAAGGACUUUCUCUUUCGAACAAACAUAAUGGAAGCAUACUCUACACGCGCGACAUAUUCAAUCGGGCCAACCGUGUGACUCGUUUGGAAGAAAGCGCUCAUCAUCGGUUUCAUGG